AUUGAACGCUGGCGGCAGGCCUAACACAUGCAAGUCGAGCGAGCGGCGGACGGGUGAGUAAUGUCUAGGAAACUGCCUGAUGGAGGGGGAUAACUACUGGAAACGGUAGCUCAUACCGCAUACCAUCAGAUGUGCCCAGAUGGGAUUAGUUAGUGGGUGGGGGAACGGCUCACCUAGGCGACGAUCCCUAGCUGGUCUGACAGGAUGACCAGCAAAACGGGAACUGAGAAAGGGUCCAGACUCCUACGGGAGGCAGCAUUGGGGAAUAUUGCACAAUGGGCGAAAGCCUGAUGCAGCCAUGCCGCGUGUGGGAAGAAGGCCUUCGGGUUGUAAAGCACGUUCAGCGGGGAGGCGUUACCCGAAGAAGAAGCACCGGCUAACUACGUGCCAGCAGCCGCGGUAAUAC
rnacentral:rRNA from 1 species